AAGCGAAACCGCGAGGUAGAGCAAAUCCCCAAAAACGGUCUCAGUUCGGAUUGCAGGCUGCAACUCGCCUGUAUGAAGUCGGAAUUGCUAGUAAUCGCGGAUCAGCAUGCCGCGGUGAAUACGUUCCCGGGCCUUGUACACACCGCCCGUCACACCAUGAGAGCCGGGAACACCCGAAGUCCGUAGUCUAACCGCAAGGAGGACGCGGCCGAAGGUGGGUUUGGUAAUUGGGGUGAAGUCGUAACAAGGUACC
rnacentral:rRNA from 1 species